GAUGAACGCUGGCGGCGUGCCUAAUACAUGCAAGUCGAGCGAACGGACGAGAAGCUUGCUUCUCUGAUGUUAGCGGCGGACGGGUGAGUAACACGUGGAUAACCUACCUAUAAGACUGGGAUAACUUCGGGAAACCGGAGCUAAUACCGGAUAAUAUUUUGAACCGCAUGGUUCAAAAGUGAAAGACGGUCUUGCUGUCACUUAUAGAUGGAUCCGCGCUGCAUUAGCUAGUUGGUAAGGUAACGGCUUACCAAGGCAACGAUGCAUAGCCGACCUGAGAGGGUGGUUGCCCACACUGGAACUGAGACACGGUCCAGACUCCUACGGGAGGCAGCAGUAGGGAAUCUUCCGCAAUGGGCGAGAGCGUGACGUAGCAACGCCGCGUGAGUGAUGAAGGUCUUCGGAUCGUAAAGCUCUGUUAUUAGGGAAGAACAUAUGUGUAAGUAACUGUGCACAUCUUGACGGUACCGAAUCAGAAAGCCACGGCUAACUACGUG
rnacentral:rRNA from 1 species